AGUCCCGAUUCUCCAUUCUCGAGUUCUGCGUUCUGAGUUCUGAGUCCCGAGGCGUCGUCGAUAUGGCAACCAGGCCAGAAGGACGGCCGGAGAGUGGGGAUGGUGUCCUCGUUCCAGGACCUCGUCCCUCGCUUCGUGUCGAUCCGAUGCGAUUCGGCUGCGCUUUCGGUUCGGUUUCGGUUGGGGUUUCGGCUUUCGAGGCGCUGCACUCGCUGCGACCAGAGUUUUGAAGUUCCGCUGGCCAGGACUCGCCUCAGUUGCCGCCGACUUGUUGGGUCAUUUGCAUACCAAUCGAUCAGUGCGCCAGUUGUCGGUCAAGGCAGCACGAACACCUCAAUUACACUAACGAUCAAUUAGGAAGUGUCGCGGUAUCGCCACAAAGUGAUAUUCCCCAGUAACGAAAAAAAAGCACCUUAAUAGCUGAUUUUCCUGCCCGCAAUGUCAAGGACGUUGUCGCAUUGUCGUUGCCCUCCACAUCCACAUCCACUCGGCCAAAGCUAAUUUCACUGGGGGCAAACGAGGCC